UGAGGAAUAUUGGUCAAUGGGCGCAAGCCUGAACCAGCCAUCCCGCGUGAAGGAAGAAGGCGCUAUGCGUUGUAAACUUCUUUUCCAGGGGGAGAAUUUUUCCGUCGUGACGGGAAUUGACGGUACCCUGGGAAUAAGCAUCGGCUAACUCCGUGCCAGCAGCCGCGGUAAUACGGAGGAUGCGAGCGUUAUCCGGAUUUAUUGGGUUUAAAGGGUGCGUAGGCGGAUAGAUAAGUCAGUGGUGAAAUUCUGCAGCUUAACUGUAGACUUGCCGUUGAUACUGUCAGUCUUGAGUAUGGUCAAGGCAGGCGGAAUGUGUAAUGUAGCGGUGAAAUGCUUAGAUAUUACACAGAACACCGAUUGCGAAGGCAGCUUGCUGGGCCAUUACUGACGCUGAUGCACGAAAGCGUGGGGA
rnacentral:rRNA from 1 species